rnacentral:rRNA from 1 species
CAGUAGCCGCGGUAAUACGUAGGGUGCAAGCGUUAAUCGGAAUUACUGGGCGUAAAGCGUGCGCAGGCGGUCUGACAAGUCAGAUGUGAAAUCCCCGGGCUUAACCUGGGAACUGCAUUUGAAACUGUCAGGCUGGAGUCUUGUAGAGGGGGGUAGAAUUCCAGGUGUAGCGGUGAAAUGCGUAGAGAUCUGGAGGAAUACCGGUGGCGAAGGCGGCCCCCUGGACAAAGACUGACGCUCAGGUGCGAAAGCGUGGGGAGCAAACAGGAUUAGAUACCCGAGUAGUCCCUGUCUCUUAUAC